rnacentral:misc_RNA from 1 species
GAUGAAGAACGUAGCGAAAUGCGAUAAGUUAUGUGAAUUGCAGAAUUCAGUGAAUCAUCGAAUCUUUGAACGCACAUUGCGCCCCUUGGUAUUCCGAGGGGCAUGCCUGUUCGAGCGUCAUUAUAACCCCUCAAGCUCAGCUUGGUGUUGGGGCCUGCUGCACUGGCAGCCCUUAAAAUCAGUGGCGGCGCCAUCUGGCUCUAAGCGUAGUAAUUCUUCUCGCUAUGGAGUCCUGGUGGAUGCUUGCCAUCAACCCCCAAUUUUUCUAUGGUUGACCUCGGAUCAGGUAGGGAUACCCGCUGAACUUAAGCAUAUCAAUAAGCGGAGGA